AAAGAAUUAGUUAAAUAUAUAACAUUAGAAUGUCAAACUGAAAUUAUUAAUAUCAUUAAUAUUCUUUA
rnacentral:tRNA from 1 species